rnacentral:rRNA from 1 species
GACGAACGCUGGCGGCGUGCUUAACACAUGCAAGUCGAACGGAAAGGCCUGCUUUCCCUUGUGGAUUGCGGGUGCUCGAGUGGCGAACGGGUGAGUAACACGUGAGUGAUCUGCCCCCAACUUGGGUAUAAGCCUGGGAAACUGGGUCUAAUUCCCGAUAGGACUGCAGGGUGGUGCCUGUGGUGGAAAACGAUUUUCUAGUGGUUGGGGAUGAGCUCGCGGCCUAUCAGCUUGUUGGUGGGGUAAUGGCCUACCAAGGCGGCGACGGGUAGCCGGCCUGAGAGGGUGGACGGCCACAUUGGGACUGGGAUGCGGCCCAGACUCCUAAGGGAGGCAGCAGUGGGGAAUAUUGCACAAUGGGCGGAAGCCUGAUGCAGCGACGCCGCGUGGGGGAUGACGGCCUUCGGGUUGUAAACUCCUUUCGACCGCGAGGAAGCCACCUGGUUGGAAGGGUGGUGACGGUAGUGGUAGAAGAAGCACCGGCUAACUACGUG